rnacentral:lncRNA from 1 species
AGCAAUCUACACACAUACACUCACACACCCCGUCCCUUUCCCUCCUCGCAGAAGCCGAGGAGAUGCCAUGUGAGGGUGCAGCGAGGAGUUGGGCUGUCUAAAAGCAAAGAAAGAGAUUGCAUCAGACACCGCAUCUGCUGACACCUUGUUCUUGGACUUCCAGCUUCCAAAACCGCGAGAAAUAAAUGUCUGUGUCUAAACCCCAACCCUACCACCUCAACUGCCGUGUGUGGUGUUUUGUGAUGGCAGCCCCAGCUGACUGAGACACCUGGUUAGACCGGAAUAAGCAGGCUGCAAUCGGUAGCAGUCACCAUUGAACAUCCUUGAAGCAAUUCUUCCAAAAUUACCUUGCAUCAAAGACUGCACAAGAACUGCUCUAAGCGGAAGGACUGAUGUCGGCAACCAGGGUUCCACCAGGGGCUGCAGACAGCCCUUGACCUUCAGGUGGGAAGGUGUCACUGAGUUCAGACCCUCUGGCAAUCCCUAGCUAUCAACAUUUUGAUAAGAAAAUAAGUGGAAAGGGCUAGUGUGAGCAUCCCUGUGCAAUGGCUUAUUGGGAAAUUGAUGUGCAUUGCACCGGAAGCAAUCUCCUCAUCUUCCUGCUUACUCAUCAGACUGAAAAAGGCAACACAGACUACCAUUCAUUGUGUGGCUACAAGGCACUAUGCAUUUUCAUACAAUAUAUCUAAAGCCCAUAAUACUCACCAAAAUAAACCAUUGCUGCCACAAUUUAA